GCCGGGCGUGGUGGCUCACGCCUGUAAUCCCAGCCCUUUGGGAGGCCGAGGCGGGUGGAUCACCUGAGGUCAGGAGUUCAAGACCAGCCUGGCCAACAUGGUGAAACCCUGUCUCUA
rnacentral:sRNA from 1 species